GCGGCCGCGGUGGUGUCAGCAGCAGCCACGGGCUGAGAUGCGGUGGAUUCCUGCAGCGCGGGGAGCACUCUCCGCAGCACGCUGACCAGCUGUUGGAUGGCGUCAGCGGCUGUCGGUUCCAUUCUGUUCAACGGUCUGGUCUUCUGUCAGAUAACACCAGAGAAGAACAGGCAAUGGAAAUUGGAUACUUUCUUCUUUCAUUACUGAUCUAAGACUGAAGGAAAUUCCAUAUGAGACUGCAAUCUCAAAAAUUGUGAGAAAGGGAAUAGCUUAUCACUUCCAAGCUUUUCCAUAAUUUUCAAGACUGGGAAGGAGGAAGAUGCUGACAUUGCCUUUUACCUGAGGAUUUAUCCUGAGCUGGCUUCACACCAGAGACUCCACUCUAAUGGAAAAGCCGACAAAAAAAGAUGGAUAGUGGGAUGUCCCCUAGUCAAAGGAUCAGCAUUUGAUAUCUUCAUUGUCAUUGAACACAUCUGCCUUUGGGGACAAACAAAAGUCUGGUACUUCACGUUGGGAUCUUUCAAAAAACCUGUCCGAUGGAUCAGAACCAGUCUGCACACCUGUGAGUAAAAAGCCGGGAAAGACGUUUAAAAUGAAAAUGACUGCACUAUCUAAAGAAUCUAAAAAAAAUAAGUAAUUUUUACUCAAUACUAUUGUCAGGAACAGCUGGACAGUUCCCUGCCAGGCCCAGAGAGGGCGCUGGCAGGUGAACUUUGGAAGCCUGCUUCUUUGUGUGUCUUUUGUUACGCCCUUCCUAUUGUUCCUAUCCUGAUUGUGUCACCUGUAUCCCAUUAGCCCUAAUGUUUACCCCUAUAAAUAGGGAUCCUUGUGUUUGUGUCCUUGUCCAUGAUUGUUAUCUGUACUGUGGUUUCUGUUGGGGUUUUGUU